UACGUAGGGUGCAAGCGUUGUCCGGAAUUAUUGGGCGUAAAGAGCUCGUAGGCGGUUUGUCGCGUCGAAUGUGAAAACCCGGGGCUCAACCCCGGGCCUGCAUUCGAUACGGGCAGACUAGAGUUCGGUAGGGGAGUCUGGAAUUCCUGGUGUAGCGGUGAAAUGCGCAGAUAUCAGGAGGAACACCGGUGGUGUAGACGGCUUUCUGGACCGUAACUGACGCUGAGGAGCGAAAGCCAGGGGAGCAAACGGG
rnacentral:rRNA from 1 species